GCGCUGAGGACAGCGGGCACCUCAGACAUGGUACAACCCUCCAUUGUCACCCUCUGCAAGUCACAUGACCAUGAUUAGUCUUUGUCUGCCAGUCUCUGAGUGAAGGAACCCGUGAUUGCCGAAGGGAUGAACAAGUGGUCCACUUGUACAGGCUGCAGGCAGAGGCUGCGGUGGGUUGCACAGACAACAGCUUGUCCCAGUCACAGCCGAUCAGGGCUGGCCAGCAGUGACCCUUGGAGUCUGGUGGAGGGGCUUGUGUAGGCAGCUCUGCCUGGGUG
rnacentral:lncRNA from 1 species